UAUUCACAGGGUGUAGACAUCUUGAAAACACCUCACAGGAAACAAUGGCCAUUGAAGUCUCCUGUGGAUUACUUCAGAAGUUCGCCAGGGAGAGGAGGACCCAGCAUGCCUCUGGGUUCUGGUCCAUGUUGUCAUUGUAUUCCUCCCUGUCCCACAGCCUAGUGAAAGCUCAAAAACACAGUGUGUGAGGGCUGGGAGCGUGGCUUAGCGGGAGAGUGGUAGAGUGCUUGCCUAGCAUCCAUGAAGCCCUGGGUUCGAUUCCUCAGCACCACAUAAACAGAAAAGGGCAGGAGUGGCACUGUGACUCAAGUGGUAGAAACAUGAACAAAAGAAG